AAAAAAACCCAGCCAUGCAAAACCGUUACUUCUCAGCUGCUGCAAUUGUAUAAACAAAUUUCAGGAGAGCUGUAUUCAUCAGCCAACGGGUAUUAUACUGAGUACUGCCAGACUGUGUCUUAGCAGCUGCCAAUGGAAAAGAAUUGUCAGUUACCUUUCAUGAUGGGAUUGACCCUCAUUGGCCUGACAUGAAGAACAGAUGGAUGUGCUCAAAGCUGUGAGAAAGAAAAAUUGUUGAAGAAGAAAAUAAUGAAUAACAUAACAGGAUAUAUGUGGCUGACAAUGGAAAGAUAAUUGGAACUAAUUACCCCAAUUACAAAAAAGGUGAUUGGGGUAAAUCGACAUCCAAGAAAAUCGCCCACCAUUUCCUUCAGUAAUUUCCACUGUGCAACAUCAAUAUGUUCAGUAAAAGAAACAUUUCUCUGCCCAGAGAGAUAGUCAGAUAGGAAAUUUUCACAUGACAAGGAUUUAUUUCUGGAUGCAAACUUUAAUUACAGAUGACAACAAUAUAAUUAGUGUAGUCCUGUUACGAAAGUACUAAAUGUUCGAGAAUAAAUGAAUAUUUGCAAGAACUAUG